AUUGAACGCUGGCGGCAGGCCUAACACAUGCACGUCGAACGAGUGGCGGACGGGUGAGUACUGUCUGGGAACCUGCCCGAUGGAGGGGGAUAACUACUGGAAACGGUAGCUAAUACCGCAUACCAUCGGAUGUGCCCAAGUGGGAUGAGCUAGUUGGUGGGGUAAAGGCCUACAAAGGCGACGAUCCGUAACGGGACUGAGAGGAUGAUCAGUCACACUGGAACUGAGACACGGUCCAGACGCCUACGGGAUGCAGCAGUGGGGAAGAGUGGGAAAUGGGCGAAAGCCUGAUCCAGCCAUGCCGCGUGUGUGAAGAAGGGCUUCGGAUUGUAAAUCACUUUAAGUUGGGAGGCGUUAACAACAGAAUAAGCACCGGCUAACUUCGUGCCAGGCGCCGCGGUAAUAC
rnacentral:rRNA from 1 species